AGUGAACGCUGGCGGUAGGCCUAACACAUGCAAGUCGAACGGCAGCACAGUAAGAGCUUGCUCUUACGGGUGGCGAGUGGCGGACGGGUGAGGAAUACAUCGGACUCUACUUUUUCGUGGGGGAUAACGUAGGGAAACUUACGCUCAUACCGCAUACGACCUACGGGUGAAAGCAGGGGAUCUUCGGACCUUGCGCGAUUGAAUGAGCCGAUGUCGGAUUAGCUAGUUGGCGGGGUAAAGGCCCACCAAGGCGACGAUCCGUAGCUGGUCUGAGAGGAUGGUCAGCCACACUGGAACUGAGACACGGUCCAGACUCCUACGGGAGGCAGCAGUGGGGAAUAUUGGACAAUGGGCGCAAGCCUGAUCCAGCCAUACCGCGUGGGUGAAGAAGGCCUUCGGGUUGUAGAGCCCUUUUGUUGGGAAAGAAAAGCAGCAGGUUAAUACCCCGCUGUUCUGACGGUACCCAAAUAAUAAGCACCGGCUAACUUCGUG
rnacentral:rRNA from 1 species